UUGAGUAUCCUGAGAAUGUUCACCUGAUACGUGGUAACCAUGAAGCUGCUGACAUAAAUGCACUAUUUGGUUUUCGUAUUGAGUGCAUUGAAAGGAUGAACAAAAGCAUUGCUGAGUGUGGUUCUUUAGCUGUAAGCACUCCAAAUCAUUGAAAAAGCCUCAGGUGCCUUCUUCCCGUAUUUGUAGAACUUCUCUCAAGAGCUUCAAAAGCUUGAGGAGUAUCGCAUGAACCAGAAAUCAAUUGAUUUAAU